CUGCGCUGCGUAAAGUCCCUGAAUGCUGCUUGUGUAUACAAGAAGAGCCGUCGCCGCUUUCCCCUCUGCGCCAUCAGGGCCUCGAGGGGUUCUCAUGUUGUCCCAGGGGGGGGGGCAUUCUGUUCGACUUUCACAACAAUGAGCUCAUCGCUGAAGAUCCUUCUGCAUCUAGGCUCCACCUGAGAGGGGACCCACAACUCGGCCUUUUCAAGCCAGCGUGCGGAGCUCCAGGUGAUCCAAGCAGACUAAAGUCCAAUGAGCGGUUGAUCCACUCACUUGCACCGUGACCCUGAAACUCAGGUCCCUAGUGUACGUCUGCCGGUGACUCGAUGGCCCAGCUCAGGUUGCAAGGUCUUAUCAAGUGAUUGAAAAAUCCUGCGUGGUCAUUCCUCAGCGAUCUGCUUCACAACAACAAAACUGUUUGUUUUGACUCCCAGUGGGUCAGUCACCUGUGUGUGUUUCCUUACGUGUGUGUUUGUUACAGUGUGUGUGUUUGAGAUAGAGAGAGUGACAGCGAAACUGAGGACUCAAUUAGAUGAGGCAGUAAUAAUAUGGGCUGUGUAUGAUAAACAUUUCAGUGAUCCCUGGAACACUGGAUCACUGUCUAUGUUUUUGAGGAAUAUUAUAAUCGGUCUUAUCUCACCUCUUUGUUAUUCUGUCCAGACUAACCUGUUCAAAAGGUGCGUCAUCCGACUGAAAGGGGAGAGAGGUUAUUGAAAUAUGCUUUGUCAUACUAAAUGUGGUUGAUCCAGUUAGCUUGUGUAUUAUAAUGUUGAUAUCAAGUUUAACCCCAAAAUAAAAACCUUCCAAAAAAAUACAUAGAAAAAUAGAAUGAAUUGCGUCAGAUAAAAUGUAUCAUCAUAGAGUCAAAUAAACUGUUUUUAGUUUUGGAAUCUAACCUCACUGAUAUAUAGAUUUACUCAAGUGGGCUACUGCACUUAUGAAUAUGCAUGUUCGUUUUACUAUUACUGAAGUACAGUCUGUGUAUUUCUUCUAGAAAUUCCAGGCCUGAAGUUAUUAACAAUCACUUUUUUAAAUGUUAAUAUUUUUUUUUUAUUUCGGAAGUGAAAGGACCAAAGGUGGCUUCCACUGGUGUGUAUACCUUUAAGAGUUCGGGC
ensembl:lncRNA